CCCUCUAGUGGGGGGCAGUGGUAUUACAGGUAGGAGCUCCCCUCUAGUGGGGGGCAGUGGUAUUACAGGUGGGGCGCUCCCCUCUAGUGGGGGGCAGUGGUACUACAGGUGGGGCGCUCCCCUCUAGUGGGGGGUAGUGGUACUACAGGUGGGGCGCUCCCCUCUAGUGGGGG